rnacentral:rRNA from 1 species
UGCAAGUCGAGGGGCAGCGGGAUUGAAGCUUGCUUCAAUUGCCGGCGACCGGCGCACGGGUGAGUAACGCGUAUCCAACCUUCCGUACACUCAGGGAUAGCCUUUCGAAAGAAAGAUUAAUACCUGAUGGUAUGAUGAGAUUGCAUGAUAGCAUCAUUAAAGAUUUAUCGGUGUACGAUGGGGAUGCGUUCCAUUAGGUAGUAGGCGGGGUAACGGCCCACCUAGCCAACGAUGGAUAGGGGUUCUGAGAGGAAGGUCCCCCACAUUGGAACUGAGACACGGUCCAAACUCCUACGGGAGGCAGCAGUGAGGAAUAUUGGUCAAUGGACGAGAGUCUGAACCAGCCAAGUAGCGUGAAGGAUGAAGGUCUUACGGAUUGUAAACUUCUUUUAUAAGGGAAUAAAACCUCCCACGUGUGGGAGCUUGUAUGUACCUUAUGAAUAAGCAUCGGCUAACUCCGUGCCAGCAGCCGCGGUAAUACGGAGGAUGCGAGCGUUAUCCGGAUUUAUUGGGUUUAAAGGGAGCGCAGACGGGUCGUUAAGUCAGCUGUGAAAGUUUGGGGCUCAACCUUAAAAUUGCAGUUGAUACUGGCGUCCUUGAGUGCGGUUGAGGUGUGCGGAAUUCGUGGUGUAGCGGUGAAAUGCUUAGAUAUCACGAAGAACUCCGAUUGCGAAGGCAGCACACUAAGCCGUAACUGACGUUCAUGCUCGAAAGUGUGGGUAUCAAACAGGAUUAGAUACCCUGGUAGUCCACACGGUAAACGAUGGAUACUCGCUGUUGGCGAUAUACGUUCAGCGGCUUAGCGAAAGCGUUAA